rnacentral:rRNA from 1 species
UACGUAGGGUGCAAGCGUUGUCCGGAAUUAUUGGGCGUAAAGAGCUCGUAGGCGGUCUGUCGCGUCGGCUGUGAAAACCCGGGGCUCAACCCCGGGCCUGCAGUCGAUACGGGCAGACUAGAGUGCGGUAGGGGAGACUGGAAUUCCUGGUGUAGCGGUGGAAUGCGCAGAUAUCAGGAGGAACACCGAUGGCGAAGGCAGAUCUCUGGGCCGUAACUGACGCUGAGGAGCGAAAGCAUGGGGAGCGAACAGG